rnacentral:miRNA from 1 species
GUGAGUGUCCUGUUUACAGC